UUCUUAGGUCCUGUUGGUGAGUGUGCUUAUUCAGAUGGAGCCUAGACAGUUUGUGAACACUGAUUCUGCUCUUAUGGAGCUUCUUGGUACUGGCACUGAAUGGUGUGCCUUAAAGUGAAGCCUGAAUGUCUCAGAUUGAUUUCAAACAAAUGCAGCAACAAAUCAAGGUGUUCUUCCUUGGGAAGUGAUGGGUGUUUUGCCUACUGUCAAUCUCUGGACAAAGUUGGUGCCCCACCUACAUCCCUUCAGCACUCCCUGGAGAUCAGCUGCAGCUUCCCAUGUACACUACUGUGAAUCCCUUAAGCACCGUGUCUUUAUGUCUAAGAGAGCAGUCUGACCCGUGAGUGGUACAGGGCAAACGUGCUGGAGAAUUAAUGUUCCCAUAAGCAACUAUCAACCAAUGAGGGAUUGAGGCUGGUAGAUAAAAUUCUGUAGCAGGCUUUGUAGGUCCUGGAAUUCUGAGGUGUACUCUAUAUGGUCUCUCAGAGGGCACCUUUCCCCAGUUUUCCUACUUCCUCAUUUUGCUGCCUCCUAAAUAAACUUCUAAAACCCA
rnacentral:lncRNA from 10 species